UACGUAGGGUGCGAGCGUUGUCCGGAAUUAUUGGGCGUAAAGAGCUCGUAGGCGGCUUGUCGCGUCGGAUGUGAAAGCCCGGGGCUUAACUCCGGGUCUGCAUUCGAUACGGGCAGGCUAGAGUUCGGUAGGGGAGAUCGGAAUUCCUGGUGUAGCGGUGAAAUGCGCAGAUAUCAGGAGGAACACCGGUGGCGAAGGCGGGUCUCUGGGCAGUGACUGACGCUGAGGAGCGAAAGCGUGGGGAGCGAACAGG
rnacentral:rRNA from 1 species